CCAUUCAGUAUACCGACGACCGUAGUGCUGGUAAGACAUACACUCGCCACCUCCCGCAAAGUGUAUCUUAUACCGUGUAAACACAUGUGCGUUUUUGUGCCCAAUUUAUAUUUUCCUAAAUAUUUGUUUUUACUUUUUCUCGCACUUCCUCCUAUGUGGACACAACCGCAUUUUUCGCAUAGGACGAUGAUCGAUAGAUCAAACGUAUAGUGCCAUCGAGCCUUCGGCUGUAAUCGUUGGUCGCCACUCUGCAAGUUCUAAAACAGCUUCAACACAGUGCGGUUUAAAAAAUAUCAGACUAAAA